UGGAGGAAGCCAUUUUGAGGGAGGGGCGGCGGCGUUGGAGCGGAGGUCGCCGGAGGAGACCGGAUGCCGGAGAGGAGGCCAAGCGCCGAGAUCCGGUCGGCCGCGGAGGAAGUUCCUUCGGUGAAGAUCCUCCACAAAUCGGGUGAAGAAGCGUGGAUCCGAGGGGAGUUGCUCACGGUUCCUCCUCCGAUUUCUCGCCGGAAGGAUCGUCGGAACGCCCCGCCGGACCGAGAGGCACUGGAUUUGUAGAGACCAUUGGGUGGGACGAGAAAUAAGAUCAGCAUGGAGUCUGAUUGCUGGAUAGAUAGGAGUUAAUCUAUCUUUUAUUUAUGGACAUUUGAAAUUAUGUAAUAAAUCAGUACAUUUUAGU